GUGCUUGCUUCACCAGCACAUAAACUAAAAUUAAAACGAAACAGAGAAGAUUAGCAUGGCCCCAGCACAAGGAUGAUAUGCAAAUUCAUGAAGUGUUCCAUAUUUUC